GAACCGGUGCAAAUUCAAUUGAAUUCGACCAAAAAGGGCCGAAAACAGCCUACCCGAGGUGGAUCGCUGGAGCACGGCGGAGUCGCCGUGCUGGAAUUCUGAAAUUGGCCGAAUAGGCCCUGAGUUUGAUUUUUGGGUUAUUUGGGACACUUGUAGGUACCGUAAGCACGUUUCAGUUCCCGAAGAAAAAUUUAGGGAACCUAGAGACUGCCUGUAGGCGCAGUAACCAUCUAGUUUUCGGCGUCGAAUCAAGU
rnacentral:lncRNA from 1 species